GAACUGGUUUUAAUAAAAAAAAAAAAAUCUUUUGCUUUUUACUAAAUAUUUCCUUGGAGAGGAACAUCAAUGAGUUUGAUGUAUUUUUAUGAGCUUUGCUCUGGCAAAGCU